CUUCGCGGAGCCGAGGUAGAGCGGCUGCUGCGGGUCACGGUCCUUGCCGUACGUCGCCAGCAGCGCCUGCGCCUC
rnacentral:antisense_RNA from 2 species